CAAGAUAGUAUAGUUACACAACAUUUGAAUGAAAAUUUUACUAAUUUUAGAAAUUCAAACAUUUCAAACGUUAUUAGUCUAACAAUUGAACAAACUCAACAAAGUGUACAACAGAAACAAGAAAGUGUAGUAUCACAAAAUUUGAAUGAAGAUUUUGGAGAUUUUAGAGAUUCAAAUACCACUAGUCUAACAACUGAAUAAACUCAACAAGGUGUAGAACAAAAUCUCUUAUGUACAACAGAUAUCAAUGAAAAUAUUGGUGUUCCAAUCAGACUACACAUACAUUCAUUGAUCAG